rnacentral:lncRNA from 1 species
GUGAUUUGUAGGAUGAAAGAAAUUAGAGAAGUACUCACAUUGUGAUGUGAAAAUAUUUUAACGUGUUUAUCAUACCUUGACCAGAAAUGAUGUUAUCCUCCUCAUCGGUGUCUUCUUCAUAUACAACUCCAUCGUCACCUGCAUAGAAUUAUGUGAAUUAUAUGAUGUUUUCCAUUGCAUGAUGAGAAUAUAAAUUUAGUAUAUAUCCUUA